CGUAGUCAACAUGCCCAGGGGACGUGGAUAACCUCGGGAAACUGAGGAUAAACCACGAUAAGUCACUACUUCUGGAAUGGGUAAUGACUCAAAUCUACAUGGCCCCUGGAUUGGACUGCGGCCGAUCAGGCUGUUGGUGUGGUAAUGGCCCACCAAACCUGUAACCGGUACGGGCUCUGAGAGGAGGAGCCCGGAGAUGGGCACUGAGACAAGGGCCCAGGCCCUAUGGGGCGCAGCAGGCGCGAAACCUCUGCAAUAGGCGAAAGCCUGACAGGGUUACUCUGAGUGAUUUCCGUUAAGGAGAUCUUUUGGCACCUCUAAAAAUGGUGCAGAAUAAGGGGUGGGCAAGUCUGGUGUCAGCCGCCGCGGUAAUACCAGCACCCCGAGUGGUCGGGACGUUUAUUGGGCCUAAAGCAUCCGUAGCCGGUUCUACAAGUCUUCCGUUAAAUCCACCUGCUUAACAGAUGGGCUGCGGAAGAUACUAUGGAGCUAGGAGGCGGGAGAGGCAAGCGGUACUCGAUGGGUAGGGGUAAAAUCCGUUGAUCCAUUGAAGACCACCAGUGGCGAAGGCGGCUUGCCAGAACGCGCUCGACGGUGAGGGAUGAAAGCUGGGGGAGCAAACCGGAUUAGAUACCCGGGUAGUCCCAGCUGU
rnacentral:rRNA from 1 species